GACGAACCGAGCGAACGUUGUUCGGAAUCACUGGGCUUAAAGGGCGCGUAGGCGGGCUGCAAAGUCCGGGGUGAAAGCCCCCCGCUCAACGGGGGAACGGCCUCGGAUACUGGCGGUCUGGAGGCGGGUAGGGGCAGGCGGAACUGUGGGUGGAGCGGUGGAAAUUCGUAGAUAUUCGCAAGAACACCAGUGGCGAAGGCGGCUCACUGGCCCGGAUACUGACGCUGAGGCACGAAAGCGUGGGGAGCAAACAGG
rnacentral:rRNA from 1 species